rnacentral:lncRNA from 1 species
CCCCCGGGUCCCCCAUUCUGUAGAUGAACCCGUACCUGGGGUGGGGCCUCGCCCGGCUUUUGCAUCGGGUGCCAUUCCCUGUUCCUUGACUCCGGAUGAACUCCUGCUGAUAAGGGUUCAGUACGGAGUUCCUCCGGAGUAUGACCUGGAGCUUCCCAGCCCCUCCGACCGGGCUAGCACUCCUCCAUCCGAUCGCUUUUGCCUGUAUCAGGAGAUGUUCUGUGCCGGGCUCCGGC